CCCCCGCCCCCCGUGACGUUGUGGCCUCGCUGGUCUCCACCCGCUUCAUCAAGCUCACCUGGCGCCCUCCAGCUGAGCCCAAUGGAGAAGACCUCACCUACUCUGUCUACUUCAAUCAGGAGGGUACCAACAGGGAGCGUAUCCUGAAUACAGUCGGCCAGGUGAGAAUGCAGGUGACCAUUCGAAACCUAAUGCCCGACUCCAAGUACAAGUUCCGGGUGUUGGCACAACAACAAGAACGGCCUGGGAGAGAGCUCUGCCGUCCUCAAGGUGGCCACCCAGGGUGAAGUGCAAGUUCCUGGCCCCGCCCCCAACCUGCAGGCUGUGUCGACCACACCCACCUCCGUCACCCUCARCUGGGACACGCCCCUCACUGGCAACGGAGACGUCCUCACGUACAAGGUCUACUAUAUGGAGAAGGGUCUGGACCUGGAA